CGAGCGCCAACCGCUCAAGGGCCUGGGCAGAGGUCCCGGGAGCGCCGAGCCCCAGAGCCCUUUCCUUCCUUCCUCGGCCCUUCCGGGCGCCUUCCCUCCUCUCUGCCCUCUUUCCUUCCUCCCUCCCUUUCUUCCUGAACUUACUGAGCGCCUACUCUGGGCCAGCCACGGUUCCAGGCACCGGGGGGGCACAGGGGUGAACAACAGCCAGGCGCCAGGCCCUGGAGCCGGUGGUCCGCCCAGGGAGACAGACCUCACCCGUGCCAACACCUUGACAGACCAAGUCACAGAGAGCCACAACGAGGACAGAGCGGAAGUGAACAGUCGGCUGGUUGACUCUGCCCCGAUAAGGCUGCAACGCUUUCAAAAGAGCGGGACUGAUUCACCCCUUCUCCGAAUCCAAAGCUCAGAGACGUGGGAAUCCCCAAGGUCACGCAGCUCGCACACACUGCUGGACACGGGGACACAGUGAUGGCGGAGACAGAGAAGUACCCCUGCGCUGACGCAUAGAUACCGCAGUGCGACAGGUGUGUUUCCUUCUUCUGUUCAUCAAGUGUUUGCUGAGCACCUACUCUGCGCCUGGCUCCAGGCCCCAGGGAGACAGCAGGAAACAAACCAGACAAUCUCCGGAAGGAUAAACAGGAAGAAGGUCUUCACGUGGGACAGUGACAGACAACCCACAGGAGGUCCGUCCGCAUGACCACGCCUCACCCAUCGAUGCGGCGAUGGUCCAUGGCCGUCCCCGGGGAAGUCCCCCCCAGUCCCCCAAGUGCUCUGGCCAGGGCGCAGCGUGGACCCUCCCUAGGGAAGAUGCUCCCAGUCCCCCAAGUGCCCUCCGGCCGGGGCGCAGUAUGGAUCGUCCCCGGGGAAGUCCCCCCCAGUCCCCCAAGUGUCCUCCAGCCGGGGCGCAUUGUGGACUGUCCCUGGUGAAGUCCCCCCCCCCCAGGCCCCCAAGUGCCCUGGCUGGGGCGCAGUGUGGACUAUCCCUAGGGAAGACCCUCCCAGUCCCCUAAGUGCCCCCACCCCGGGGCGCAGUGUGUCUGCAUUCGCAGGGCAAAGGCCGGGAGCAGCAGGUGCUGGCAGGCAGGUGGCCUGACGGGAGGCGCGGUCCUCUGCCAGCGGCC